rnacentral:rRNA from 1 species
GGGUGGUAAUGCCGGAUGCUCCAUCACACCGCAUGGUGUGUUGGGAAAGCCUUUGCGGCAUGGGAUGGGGUCGCGUCCUAUCAGCUUGAUGGCGGGGUAACGGCCCACCAUGGCUUCGACGGGUAGCCGGCCUGAGAGGGCGACCGGCCACAUUGGGACUGAGAUACGGCCCAGACUCCUACGGGAGGCAGCAGUGGGGAAUAUUGCACAAUGGGCGCAAGCCUGAUGCAGCGACGCCGCGUGAGGGAUGGAGGCCUUCGGGUUGUAAACCUCUUUUGUUAGGGAGCAAGGCACUUUGUGUUGAGUGUACCUUUCGAAUAAGCACCGGCUAACUACGUGCCAGCAGCCGCGGUAAUACGUAGGGUGCAAGCGUUAUCCGGAAUUAUUGGGCGUAAAGGGCUCGUAGGCGGUUCGUCGCGUCCGGUGUGAAAGUCCAUCGCUUAACGGUGGAUCCGCGCCGGGUACGGGCGGGCUUGAGUGCGGUAGGGGAGACUGGAAUUCCCGGUGUAACGGUGGAAUGUGUAGAUAUCGGAAAAGAACACC